UGACUUUCAUCAUCCUGUACAUACGUACUUGUGCAUCAACUUUUAAAAGUAAAAAGUUCGUUACCGAGUAUAAUUCAAUAUGCAUAAACUAAUGCUUGUGUUACUUUUGGUCAGUUGUGUGACCAUUAUCAUCGUGCCUGACGGAGCAAAAGCCCAGAUGAGCUGUGCUUGUAAAUAUAGUUGUUCAAGCGAUGAGAAUGAUGUAGGAACUAACAACUGUUAUGGACAAAGACGUUGCUGUAGAUAUGGCUACAUUGGAUGACCACUGCUACGAACUUGAACAAGCUGAAUUCUAAAGCCUUAUGACGUUGAACAACAAACUUCCAUGCAAUUUCAUGUUGUCUUUAUUUGUAUAAAUAAAUGGCUCCAUUGUAA